CCUGAGUGCUGGAUUCAGGUGGAAUCCUCCAUUCAUAGUGAGUGAGUGGUUUCCAGGUUUUGACAUUCAUGGUGACUAACUCCUAGUAGGGCAUAUGUGUUGAUGGCGUGGAUCUUGUUCUUACCAUUGAGCUGGAUUUUCGGGACCUGUCUGACUCUCUGGAAUUACUUGGAUAUUACAAUCCUUCUUGCCUCUUCCUCAUGUUGCC